rnacentral:rRNA from 1 species
UUUGACUGGGGCGGUCGCCUCCUAAAAGGUAACGGAGGCGCUCAAAGGUUCCCUCAGAAUGGUUGGAAAUCAUUCAUAGAGUGUAAAGGCAUAAGGGAGCUUGACUGCGAGACCUACAAGUCGAGCAGGGUCGAAAGACGGACUUAGUGAUCCGGUGGUUCCGCAUGGAAGGGCCAUCGCUCAACGGAUAAAAGCUACCCCGGGGAUAACAGGCUUAUCUCCCCCAAGAGUUCACAUCGACGGGGAGGUUUGGCACCUCGAUGUCGGCUCAUCGCAUCCUGGGGCUGUAGUCGGUCCCAAGGGUUGGGCUGUUCGCCCAUUAAAGCGGUACGCGAGCUGGGUUCAGAACGUCGUGAGACAGUUCGGUCCCUAUCCGUCGUGGGCGUAGGAAAUUUGAGAGGAGCUGUCCUUAGUACGAGAGGACCGGGAUGGACAUACCUCUGGUGUACCAGUUGUCGUGCCAACGGCAUAGCUGGGUAGCUAUGUAUGGACGGGAUAAGUGCUGAAAGCAUCUAAGCAUGAAGCCCCCCUCAAGAUGAGAUUUCCCAACUUCGGUUAUAAGAUCCCUCAGAGAUGAUGAGGUUAAUAGGUUCGAGGUGGAAGCGUGGUGACACGUGGAGCUGACGAAUACUAAUCGAUCGAAGACUUAAUCAAUUU